rnacentral:sRNA from 1 species
CAAGCUGUUACCGCGGACAUGCGCCGUAACAGAAGCCGGGUUCAUCGGUAACGGGAACCCG